rnacentral:sRNA from 1 species
UUGCACACACAAAGUUGCAGCAAACCCCCUUUGCGAAUCUUAUGAAUGUCCCCCUUGGCCGGUUCUGGGGUGUCGUCGUCGCCGCCUUGCGGUGGUGGUGGUGAUGUCCCGGCCCGGCCAACCCAAGUCCCCCCUCGGGCUUGGGGCUCUCCCUCCCGGGGGAGCCUCAUCACCCGGGGACACUUGGUAACCAACCGAUUGCGCAAUGCAUCAACACUUUCGACAUGACUGAGUAUAAGAAUCGGGGCAUAACAUCGGGUGGCUCUUCGUUGAGCCAUUCAGUGUUCCCCCCCCCCGAGUUGUAAUAAACAAAAACAACUCUCAGCAACGGAUAUCUUGGCUCUUGCAACGAUGAAGAACGCAGCGAAAUGCGAUACGUAGUGUGAAUUGCAGAAUUCCGCGAAUCAUCGAGUCUUUGAACGCAAGUUGCGCCCGAGGCUUGACCAAGGGCAUUUCUGCCAGAGCGUCACCGCGACACCCACCAAUCCACUCCAGGUGAGUUGGACUGAGUGAAAGUGGCCAUCCGAAUGGGGCCCCACCCGGGACUUCCGUCCUUGGGUGUGGCACGUUGGGUUGGCUGAAAUGGAGGGAAUUUGGCCGCCGUGGUGACACAGCCCGCGAUCAGGUGAUCCAGGCUCUGUCUUGGAACUCAAAUGUGCGUCGGUUGUGCCUCCCUGUUGGCAGUAGGAUUCCAGAGCAGGUCCCUCCCGGCGGGACCGCCUCUCGAGGUGGUUCCGGCGGGAGGAAAAACGUCACGCAUCAGACCUCUGAUCAGAAAAGACUACCCGCUGAGUUUAAGCAUAUCACUAAGCGGAGGAGAAGAAAC